UGCGCGGCGGCACGGCCGGCAGCGACGGCGGCGACCCCGAGUCCGGUUUAGCUCGUUUUCGUUCCAAACUCGAUAUCUCGAGCUACAGAGCACCAUUUCACUUGAUUCUUGGCUCAUUGAGCUCGCCUCAUCUUCCUAUACAAGCACCAAGAAGGAUCGGAACUGGAUCGAACGUUUUCACGUUCGUCGGAGCUCGACCCGUGCGGAUCGAACAACCAACCUUCGGAUCAAGAUAUCUCGAGCUAUACACGAUCGUUUCUUGUGAUUCUUGGCUUGUUGAGUUCAUAAGGAAGUUCUGAACAAUUCUCCAGAAGGGAUCGAGGCGUGAGGUUGUAGUUUUCACGUCGAUUUUGGAGCUCGCCGGUUUCUGGAAAAAUUCCGGCCACCGACUGAUUUUUGGUGAUCGACGGUUGGAUUUGGCGGACGAUUCGUGAAAUUGUAUUUUGAGCUGUUAAGAAGACGCAGCGGGAAUUUAGAGCGGGAAAUCCUACAGGUCAGGAGAACCAGGACGGUGAUCGGGCUGUUUAGAGUAGUGUUAUGUGAAUUACAGCAUUAUAUUGUGAGGUUUGUUAUGCUCAUUUAGAGCUUUACGAUUUUACUUUGUAAGAGUGAAUUGUAAUAAUUAACUCGAGGUUUUUCGAGUUUUGUGUUGAGU